rnacentral:lncRNA from 1 species
AAUUGGAAACGAAUGAAAUUCGCCUGCUAAGCUCAAUAGAUGGCUUUGGAGAUGAAUGAAAUUCGCCUGCCAAGCGCAAUAGAUGGAUUUUGAGUUUUCUUAAGUUACAUAGAACUAAUUCGGGAAAGAAUUUUAAGGAUUAAUAAUUACGGUUAAAAAUGUUCUGUUAACGUUUUCAUGCCAUAGCAUUCCAUUUGUCGUAAUUAUUAAAUUAUUUAAAAAAUGAAAAAGAAAUAAACGGCAGCCACAAUUUCAACUUGGUAAAAUAAAAACAAAGCAGACGACUUAAUCUCAUACCUUCUUUUUCUUUGACAACUUUUUUGAGAAAUCAAAAUGACUCUAGAAGUUGCAGAUGAGUGCACCGAAAAAGAAAUCGAUGUCAUUUGACUUGGGUGCUCAAAAGAAUCAUUUACUGAGCACUCGGAGGUUGAAAAACUCAUUGACGAACUGAGCACGUCAGCCCAACAUCAGACAAACCAAACGGAUAUUCGUUUAGUGGAGAGAAACUGGCAAAGGUUUUCGUUCAUUCUAGAUCAAUACCAAGAGCAACCACAUUUGAUCGAUUCACACCUCGAUGGACUACUCACUAAAAUCAUCAACAUCAUUCGAGAGGAAGUGCUGGAUUAGGAGGUGAAACAUGUGGCCUUCCGAUGCCUCUACUUUAUAUCGAAAGUCAGGGGCUACAAAGUUGUAGCAAGACAUCUUCCUCAUGAGACUGCCGAUCUGGAGCCUUUGCUACAUUACUUGGAAAACCAAGACCCUGGUGUGCAACUAAAAUGGGAGACUCAUUACGGCUUGCUUCUCUGGCUCAGCAUUGUAGUUAAAAUCCCAUUCCACCUUCAGCGAUUUGACACCAGCACUUCAGAGCCAAUCAUGGAAAGAAUUCUGAACGUCUGUAAGAAAUACCUGGCUGGGACAACAAAAGCUCAGGACAUGGCCUUUUAUGUAUUGGCAAUCUAUCUUACAAGGCCUGAUGUCAAAGAUUCCUAUCUACCGGGAUUUAUCAAUUGGGCUCAUGAGGCUCUUACCAUAGAUAGUGCUCAGUUCAAAAAAGGAGUUCUUUCAAUGUUGGCCGGCGUAUUCAAACAUGGGCAAAGAGAACAAAUGAUGGAGCAUGCACAUGCUGUGCUGCGUACCAUCCUGACGAUUAAAUUCCAACCGUCAGAAUUGCUUAUACCUAGUUAAGAAACCGUUGGUGAAGCUGACGCAGCGAAUAGGUUUGAUAUUCUUGAAACCUCGAGUUGCCUCUUGGAGAUACCAGCGGGGCAGCAGAUCAUAAGCUGCCAAUCUGCAACAGAGCCAACCCGUUGAGACUAAAGCAGCUAUUUCGGUGAAUGAUGAAGAUGACCACGAUUACGACGUGCCGGAAGAAAUCGAAGAAGUACUUGACGAGAUCCUGCAAGCCCUCCGAGACAAGAACCGUGAAGUCCAGUACUCUGCAGCAAAAGGCAUUGGGCGGCUGACCAGUCGCUUAUCAAAGAACUUUGCCGACCAGGUAAUUGAAUCGAUCAUGGAACUUUUUUCACUCUGGGAGUCGGAUAUGACCUGGCACGGAGGAUGUUUGGCUUUGGCCGAAUUAGCCCGUCAUGGAUUGCUGUUUCCCCAGCGAUUGUCUUUUGUCUUGCCUUUUAUGGAGCAGGUCAUGCUGUACGAUGAGUUACGCGGUAACUUUUCCGUUGGCUCGGCUGUACGUGAUGCCGCUUGUUACCUCUGCUGGGCUCUUGCCCGAUCCUACGACCCGUCUCUGCUCC